CCUANGGGGGGCUGCAGUGGGGAAUUUUGGACAAUGGGGGCAACCCUGAUCCAGCAAUGCCGCGUGAGUGAAGAAGGCCUUCGGGUUGUAAAGCUCUUUUGUCAGGGAAGAAAAGGUAGCCUCUAAUACAGGCUGCUCAUGACGGUACCUGAAGAAUAAGCACCGGCUAACUACGUGCCAGCAGCCGCGGUAAUACGUAGGGUGCAAGCGUUAAUCGGAAUUACUGGGCGUAAAGCGUGCGCAGGCGGUUAUAUAAGUCAGAUGUGAAAUCCCUGGGCUCAACCUAGGAACUGCAUUUGAGACUGUAUGGCUAGAGUGUGUCAGAGGGGGGUAGAAUUCCACGUGUAGCAGUGAAAUGCGUAGAUAUGUGGAGGAAUACCGAUUGCGAAGGCAGCUCACUAAGCCAUAACUGACGCUGAUGCACGAAAGCGUGGGGAGCAAACAGGAUUAGAUACCCCGNUANUC
rnacentral:rRNA from 1 species